GGCCGUCGUCAGUUCGUACCGUAAGGCGUUCUGUCAAGUCAGAUAACGAACGAGACCCUCGCCCUUAGUUGCGAGUUCGUCCUCCGGGACGGGCGCACACUAAGGGGACCGCUGGCGCUAAGUCAGAGGAAGGAGAGGUCAACGGUAGGUCCGUAUGCCCCGAAUCCCCCGGGCAACACGCGCGCUACAAAGGACGGGACAAUGGGUUCCGACACCGAGAGGUGCAGGCAAUCCCGAAACCCGUUCGUAGUUCGGACUGAGGGCUGUAACCCGCCCUCACGAAGAUGGAUUCCGUAGUAAUCGCGUGUCAACAUCACGCGGUGAAUAUGCCCCUGCUCCUUGCACACACCGCCCGUCAAGCCACCCGAGUUGAGCCUGGGUGAUGGUUCCGUUUUUGCGGCGCUAGAACCUAGGUUCAGCAAGGAGGGCUAAGUCGUAAA
rnacentral:rRNA from 1 species